AGCUGAACCCUGAGGGACGGGGAGGGUUUUGCAAGAUCCCUCGCAAUCCCAGUUGUCUGCGUUGGUGGCUGGAUGUCUGCAGCCAGUGGCAACAAGUGCGUGGGCAGGCACGCGAGGCCAGGCCCUGCCUCCUCCCUGACCCUGGGCAGGGCUGAGCAAGCAUGUUGGGCAACGGUCACGGUUUGUGUCUCACUUUCCCAGGCGGGCCUUGGUGCCAGGCUUCCUGAACCAAGGAGUCUCAAAUGGGGUGCCCAGAGCUUCCUUCCCAGGGGGUUGCUUAUGGUGUCACCUGGAUGGGUAUGCAGCCUGGGUGUGUGCGCACCCGCAGGUGCAGGCCUUCAUGGGUGUCUAUAGGCAAGUCUGUUUUGGUCCCAAAGUGUGUGUCUCUCUGUCUGUCUACAUGUGUGUCCAAGUGUUGGUGUGUCCUUGUGCCUCUGUGUCGGAGGUCUGGAUGUCUGUGGCCGAAUGUGCACCUUAUUACAGAUAAAUAUCAGCUGUGUCCCUGGCUCCAUCUCUGCAUGUGUCCCGUGUGGCUAAGACGGGAUCUUGUGCCCACGUGUGCAUGUAUGAGCCCUUGGGGCACGUUUCCGUGUGUGUGUGUGUGUGUGUGUGUGUGUGUGUGUGUGUGUGUGUUUUGGUCUCUGGCUGUCCGUGUGUGUGUGUACACAUCUGCAUCCUUUGUCUGCACAUGUGUGCCUGUGUGUAUCCUCUUGUCCACUUUCCUUGAAGCCACAUCCUCUCAGGGACCCCUGCUUCUCCUGAUGCCAGAAGGCCCAGCUCCCUGCAGCCACCAGAGGAGGGACCACGAGUAUCUGCUCCAAGCAGCUUCCAGGCCCUGCCCUGCUGGCACCCUCUGGCCUUUUAAAUUUAGGUGAGCCUCUUCUAAGUUGACUAAUAAGAGCCCUUGGACAGGUGCUAACUAGGCAGUAACAUAGGAGAGGGUGUGGUAAGUCCUCUGACUCUCUCUUGCCUCUUUGUAGCUGAUUCUCUGCUUUCCAGUCUCUUGGUUUUCAUAGAGUUGUGUUUUUAAGCUCUGCUUUAAGCUUUUUAAAAAAAAUUAAGAUGAGUUCCUGUUGUUGUGCAGUGGAAAUGAGUCUGACUAGUAUCCGUGAAGAUGCAGGUUCGAUCCCUGGCCUUGCUCAGGGGGUUGGGGAUCUGGCAUUGCCGUGAGCCAUGGUAUAGGUUGCAGAUGUAGCUCAGAUCCUGUGCGGCUGUGGCUGUGGCUGUGGCUGUGGUGUAGGCUGGUAGCUGUGGCUCUGAUUCGACCCCUAGCCUGGGAACUUCCACAUGUCGCAGGUGAGGCCCUAAAAAACAAACAAAAAUUUAAGAUGAAAUUCACGUAAUAUACAGUUAACCAUUUAAAAAUGAAUAGCUACCACUUCACACCAGUCAGAAUGACCAUCAUUAAUAAGUCCACAAAUAACAAAUGCUGGAGAGGGCGUGGAGAAAAGGGACCCCUCUUGCACUGUUGGUAGGAAUGUGAAUUGGUAGAACCACUAUGGAAAACAGUAUGGGGGUAGCUUAGAAAACUAUGUAUAGAACUACCACAUGACCCAGCAAUCCCACUCUUGGGCAUAUAUCUGGAUAAAACUUUCCUUGAAAAAGACACAUGCACCCUCACAUGCACCCUCAUGUUCAUUGCAGCACUAUUCACAAUAGCCAAGACUUGAAAAUAACCUAAAUGUUCAUCGACAGAUGACUGGAUUAGGAAGAUGUGGUAUAUAUACACAACGGAAUACUACUCAGCCAUAAAAAAGAAAAAUUAAUGCCAUUUGCAGCAACAUGGAUGAAACUAGAGACUCAUACUAAGCGAAGUAAGUCAGAAAGAGAAAGGCAAAUACCAUAUGAUGUCACUUAUAUCUGGAAUCUAAUAUAUGACACAAAUGAACCCUUCCAUAGAAAAGAAAAUCGUAGACUUGGAGAACAGACUUGUGGUUGCCAAGGGGGAGGGGAAGGAAUGGGAUGGACUAGGAAUUUGGGGUUAAUAGAUGCAAACUAUGGCUUUGGAAUGGAUAAGCAAUGAAAUCCUGCUGUAUAGCAGUGGGAACUAUAUCUAGUCACUUAGGAUGGAGCAUGAUAAUGUGAGAAAAAGGAAUGUGUAUGUGUGACUGGGUCACUUUGCUGUACAGUAGAAAAUUGGCAGAAUGCUGUAAACCAGCUAUAAUGGGAAAAAAUUAAAAUCAUUAAAAAAUAAAAGUGAAUAGCUAGCUAGCUCA
rnacentral:lncRNA from 1 species